ensembl:lncRNA
UCGCCAUCUAAUGGUGUAACAAUGUGACAAAAAUCACCAUCACGAACACACACACUGUAUCCCAAUAAUAAAUACUACUAUGUAUAUAAAAUAGAAUGUUUUGAAUAAUAAACAACAGCAACAGCCAUCAUAAAAGUUGCUAGACAAUUCAGUCAAAAGUACAAAGGCAGCGCUCUAAUAUACAGCAUUAAAAUUACAUAAAAUAUAACGUGAUGAGAUUUUGCCUUCAGCUGAAACUAUUUGCUCUGGAACAAAUAAUAAAUUGAUGAGACCAAAGACUGCCCGUUAGAAUUAUUGAAAACUAAUUAUAUCUCUUGUUUAUCCACUAUAGAGACAUCAGAGCUAGCGGCAAAUUCCGGAAGACCUGGCCGAGGUGAGGCAGCUCUCGGCGGGUUCAUGCGCUGAACGCCCGCUGACGCCUUGGAGCUUACGUCUCGGAAAAUAUCGAAGCACCAGUCUAAACAAUGGCCAUGAAAUACAGCAUCCUUUUGCAGUAAACUGUGGAAUGUUUCUGGCCAGAAAAGCUUUGGACGUGUUGUUAAGAGUUGCAGUAAGUAAAAUCAUAUGACCUGUCCUGUUUGCAUGACUACUCUUUGAGCCGCCACAGCAAGACAUAAAUAAUUGUAGUGCAGGACUAUCAAUAAAUGAAAUACUCAGCGGUUCA